rnacentral:tRNA from 1 species
CUUUUACUAUAAAUUAUCACGUAGAAUUGCAAAUUCUACUAACUCAUCAGAGGUAAAAGU